UUUCCUGUGGCUCAGUUGGUAGAGCAUUCCGCUAAACGCAAAGGUCAUGUGUUCAAAUGGGAAAGCUGGAAAU